rnacentral:rRNA from 1 species
CCUACGGGUGGCAGCAGUGAGGAAUAUUGGUCAAUGGACGAGAGUCUGAACCAGCCAAGUAGCGUGAAGGAUGACUGCCCUAUGGGUUGUAAACUUCUUUUAUAAAGGAAUAAAACGAGGCACGUGUUCCUUUUUGCAUGUACUUUAUGAAUAAGGAUCGGCUAACUCCGCGCCAGCAGCCGCGGUAAUACGGAGGAUCCGAGCGUUAUCCGGAUUUAUUUGGUUUAAAGGGAGCGUAGAUGGGUUGUUAAGUCAGUUGUGAAAGUUUGCGGCUCAACCGUAAAAUUGCAAUUGAUACUGGCAGUCUUGAGUACAGUUGAGGUAGGCGGAAUUCGUGGUGUAGCGGUGAAAUGCUUAGAUAUCACGAAGAACCCCGAUUGCGAAGGCAGCUUACUAAACUGUGACUGACAUUGAUGCUCGAAAGUGUGGGUAUCAAACAGGAUUAGAUACCCUUGUAGUC